UCUGGAAGAAUCCGGUCGAGCAUACUACCAGUUUCGAGAGCAAUUGAUGCGAGGUUGUGGUGAAGGUAUGACCACGAUCUACAACUGGUUUCAUGAUCCUGAAUGCGAGGUCCAAGACAUAGUGCGUCUCCGACAGAUGCACGAUGAGAUGGACCGCGCAGUAUUGAAGGCUUACGGUUGGGGCGAGAUCCAACUGUCCUGCGAAUUCUUUCCCGAAUU
rnacentral:misc_RNA from 1 species